rnacentral:misc_RNA from 1 species
GAUGAAGAACGCAGUGAAACGCGAUAAGUAAUGUGAAUUGCAGAAUUCAGUGAAUCAUCGAAUCUUUGAACGCACAUUGCGCCCACUAGUAUUCUGGUGGGCAUGCCUGUUCGAGCGUCAUUUCAACCCUCAAGCCUUAGUUGCUUGGUGUUGGGAGCUUAUCUUGCCGAAAGGCGGACAACUCCUUAAAACUAUUGGCGGAGUCGCGGUGACCCCAAGCGUAGUAAAUCUUUUUUUUCUCGCUUUAGGUGUUAACGCUGGCUUUCUAGCCGUUAAACCCUCUAAAUUUUUAGUGGUUGACCUCGGAUCAGGUAGGACUACCCGCUGAACUUAAGCAUAUCAAUAAGCGGAGGA